CGGUUACAUGAAGGCCAGGCUGAUGACCUUGCUGAUUUCCGAGAGGUGGUGCAUGGCCGUCGUCAGUUCGUACCGUAAGGCGUUCUCUUAAGUGAGAUAACGAACGAGACCCUCGCCGUUAAUUGCUAGUGUUCUCUCCGGAGGCACGCACAUUAACGGGACCGCUGUCGCUAAGACAGAGGAAGGAGAGGUCAACGGUAGGUCCGUAUGCCCCCGAAUCUCCUGGGCUACACGCGCGCUACAAAGGUUGGGACAAUGGGCUCCGACAUCGAAAGGUGAAGGCAAUCUCGAAACCCAAUCGUAGUUCGGAUUGAGGGUUGUAACUCACCCUCAUGAAGCUGGAUUCCGUAGUAAUCGCUUGUCAACAUCAAGCGGUGAAUAUGCCCCUGCUCCUU
rnacentral:rRNA from 1 species